rnacentral:rRNA from 1 species
AACGAACGCUGGCGGCGUGUUUAAGACAUGCAAGUCGCACGGAAUCAAAUUGGUAGUAAUACUCGGUUGGUUCAGUGGCGCACGGGUGAGUAACACGUGAAUUACAUGCCCUUCAGUGGGGAAUAGCCCAGGGAAACUUGGAUUAAUACCCCAUGGUAUCGCAAGAUUAAAGGUGGCCGCAAGGCUGUCGCUGAAGGAUUGGUUCGCGCCCUAUCAGCUUGUUGGUGAGGUAACGGCUCACCAAGGCUACGACGGGUACCUGGUCUGAGAGGACGAUCAGGCACACUGGAACUGAGACACGGUCCAGACACCUACGGGUGGCAGCAGUCGAGAAUAAUUCACAAUGGGGGCAACCCUGAUGGUGCAACGCCGCGUGGAGGAUGACGGUCUUCGGAUUGUAAACUCCUGUCAUCCGGGAGUAAGACCUGGCUGUGAAUAGCAGACAGGGUUGAUAGUACCGGAAGAGGAAGGGACGGCUAACUUCGUGCCAGCAGCCGCAGUA